rnacentral:rRNA from 1 species
UGGGGAAUUUUCCGCAAUGGGGGCAACCCUGACGGAGCAACGCCGCGUGGGGGAGGACGGUCUGUGGAUUGUAAACCCCUUUUCUCAGGGAAGAAGGACUGACGGUACCUGAGGAAUCAGCCUCGGCUAACUCCGUGCCAGCAGCCGCGGUAAUACGGAGGAGGCAAGCGUUAUCCGGAAUUAUUGGGCGUAAAGCGUCCGCAGGUGGUUUUUCAAGUCCGCUGUCAAAGACCGGAGCUUAACUCCGGAGAGGCAGUAGAAACUGAGAGACUAGAGUUCGGUAGGGGUAGAGGGAAUUCCCAGUGUAGCGGUGAAAUGCGUAGAGAUUGGGAAGAACACCAGUGGCGAAAGCGCUCUACUGGGCCGAAACUGACACUCACAGGACGAAAGCUAGGGGAGCGAAAGGGAUUAGAUACCCCCGUAGUCC